rnacentral:rRNA from 1 species
CAGUCGCGUGUCCUAGACCCGAAGCGGAGUGAUCUAGCCAUGGGCAGGGUGAAGCAGCAGUAAGAUGUUGUGGAGGCCCGCACCCACUUCAGUUGAAAAUGGAGGGGAUGACCUGUGGUUAGGGGUGAAAGGCCAAUCAAACUCUGUGAUAGCUGGUUCUCCCCGAAAUGCAUUUAGGUGCAGCGUUGCGUGGUUCUUGCCGGAGGUAGAGCUACUGGAUGGCUGAUGGGCCCCACCGGGUUACUGACGUCAACUAAACUCCGAAUGCCGGUAAGGUUCAGCGUGGCAGUGAGACAGUGGGGGAUAAGCUUCAUUGUCGAGAGGGAAACAGCCCAGACCAUCAACUAAGGCCCCUAAGCGUGUGCUGAGUGGGAAAGGAUGUUCAGUUGCGAAGACAACCAGGAGGUUGGCUUAGAAGCAGCCACCCUUGAAAGAGUGCGUAAUAGCUCACUGGUCAAGUGAUUGAGCGCCGAUAAUGUAGCGGGGCUAAGUACACCGCCGAAGUUGUGGCAGCAUCACGAUACUGUAAUGGUGUGGUGUUGGGUAGGGGAGCGUCGUGUCGCCAGUGAAGUCGCCGUGUGAACGAGUGGUGGAGGCGUCACGAGUGAGAAUGCAGGCAUGAGUAGCGAAAGACGGGUGAGAAACCCGUCCACCGGAUGACCAAGGGUUCCAGGGCUAGGCUAAUCCGCCCUGGGUAAGUCGGGACCUAAGGCGAGGCCGACAGGCGUAGUCGAUGGACAACCAGUUGAUAUUCUGG